CAAUAAUCAGCAAAUCGGUAACACUUUACAACAAAGUCUCAUUCAUUAACAUUAGCUAAGAAGAACUUAAAAAUAAGCAAUGCAUUUCUUACAGAAUUAUAAAGCUUUUUUAAUGCUUAAUACAGUGGUUCAUGUUAGUUAUGUUCGUGUUAGGUCAUGUUAUGUUGAAAUGAACAUUAUCUAAGAUUCAUAAAUGCUGUAAAAGUAUUGCUACAUUUACAUUCUUCAUUUAGCAGAUGCUUUUAUCCAAAUCGACUUAUAAAAGGAAUACAAGUAACUGUUAAUAACGUUAAUAAAUGCAAAUGACAGAACAAAACUCUACAGUAAAUUAGACUUUUUUUAUUAAAAAAAAACAUCUCAUUUUGUGCAGUGAAAUGUGAUCUGGACCUGUUUUUGUGAGAUUCACCCCAACUGUAGCCUGCCUGGUUACUCUUUCCAUCACUCUUUGAGUUUAAGAGGCGAAAUGAGCUUCAACAUGAGCUCACAUUGAGAGACAGAAGAUAUCUGAGCUGUUAAAGCAGAUGAUGAGCGUCGGCUCUGACGAUAUGUCUGACAAUAAACAAUACUGUGGACUUUCAAACAGUCACUAAUUGGAAAAUGGUUUUUGCCUUUCUGACUCUCAUAAGCCUGUUUGCUUCUGCUAGUCCUGUUUGUUUUUGUUAAUGAAGCGAUUUCAGCAGCUCGGCUUUGCCACAUCAAGACUCGAGGAAACACACCAUACGUGCUCCGUUUCAUGGUUUACACUAGAAACCAUGAGAGAAACUUAAAAAAAAAAAAAAAAAAUCAUCUUCAGUAGUAUUUGUAUCAUUUGUACUCCAAUAAUACCAUGCUUUGUACACACUUUGAACUGGGAAACAGAAUCAGCUUAUUAAAUGGAUACUGUGUAUCCUGAAGUAGUCACAAAUAUAACAUUAUAGUGUUAGAAUACUACUUGUUUUUUUUUUUUUUUUUUGUAUUUUUACCUUUCUGGAGGAUGAGGAAAAACAGACACUUCAUAAAUCAUUAAUUAUUAUAAUUCAUUAUUAUUCAGCAUCACUGUUAUUUGUUAUUAUGGAUACCACAUUAAAUGUUAUGAUCAAAAUAUGUUGUACAUAAUGUUUGAUAUUAAGGUAUUAAUUUGAUUCACAUGUCUUUUCUAAAAUAAAAGAAAAUAAUAAUAAAAAUAUGAGUGCAAAACAUUGGGAUGUUUGCGUUCGACAAACGCAGCCAAUCAGAGGCCACCUUUGAACAGCGAUCUGAAGCCCUGAGCCAAUAGGAACGCUUCAUCUGUUUUUAAAUCUCCUGCCAACGUUUUUCAAAGUUCGGAGGUUCAAAGGUGCAGCGUUUGUUCAGAUGAUGCUGUGUUUGCCGGACUGUCUGUGAUUUUAACGGAAGGAACUUGCUGGUUUCAUAACGUGGCAUGUGCAUGGACUUGAUAAUGAAAAAAACAUGUUAAAUAAAGUGUUCUUUUGGCUGUUUUCACCUCUUCUUUUCUCGACACGUUCAUGUGUGCUGUAGUUCCACUGAAAUUAGAAGGUUAUGCAGGAGAGAGUGCUGUAGUUUUGCACAAGCAUUGCUCCAGAACGUUUGCUGCAGUGCAGAAGGUUCUGGAGUUGUUUGUUUGAUUGUUUUCAAUGGUUUUGAGAAUAAAUCAUCUGUCAUGAGACUGACUCUGUCAGCGUCGGGAAACAUUCAGAAUUUAAGAGUGCGAAUCUGUUCAGUAUAUGUGUGUGAAUUUAACUUGAACUGAAACAGGACGAUGACCUGAAAUGAAAUGACAUGAAGAGAAAAAAAAAUUCCCUUCAAAAUACAUGAUUUAUGCUCAUUUAUACUCUGAUUUAUGUAUAUUGUUUUAUGGUAACACUUUACAAUAAGGUUAAAUUUUUUAACUAUAUUUAAUGCAUUAACUAACAUUACUUAACAAUGAGCAAUACACUGUUACAGUAUUUAUUUAUCUUUGUUAAC
ensembl:lncRNA